CUUUCUAUGUUUACAGCAUAGAAAGUUUUAUGCUAUAAGCAUCUUUUGGUGCAAUUAGACAACUUUGUUACUUCUGCCUAUAGAAUAGAGUAAAAUACAGAUAAUAACAUUUGCUUAAGGGAGACAUUUAAAAAAUAAGACAUGGUUUGUCUUAGCCCAAUCAGCCUAAAACUACCAGGGACAACCUGUAAACAAACCAAUCGAGUUUACUGACUCAUUGCGGUGUGGGGACAGCACAAUAGAGCAAUUGUGAGGUAUCUCAUCAAACAAAGGAAAAUAUGGAGUUAACAUAGGAUUUUGCUGAAGAGUGGAAUUUAAGUGUGAUGUAAAUGAAGUGAUGUUCUAUGGGCUCUAAGCAAGUAUGGUGGGUGUGUAUAAAAGGGGUCAACCUCAGCUCUGUACUGUGAAAUGGACCUAUGGUCCUUGUCUUAGUCCAUUUUGUGUUGCUAUAAAGGAACAUUCGAGGCUGGACAAUCUCUAAGGAAAAGAGGUUUAUUUGGCUGUCUGUUCUGCGGGCUGUACAAGAAGCAUGGCACCAGCAUCUGCUCCUGGCGAGAGGCUCAGGCUGCUUCCACUCAUGGUAGAAGCUUGCUCUGCCUAACAACCACUAUCAUCAAAGUUGUCUGAGGAAGACCUCCUGUUGCUGCGACUGACAGAACUCUUGGUGGAAGCCCUAUUCCUAUGUGCCCAUGGCUGCAGCUCCCCAAGGGAGCAGGACAUUGUUGGAUUCUUUAAGAAGCUCAGAGGAAGUCACUUCUCACUGUGGUGCCAUAUGGGACUUGAAGUCGUUCUACUCAUGCUCUGUUUUUCAGUAAAACUGCUUUUGCCUCUG